AGCUUUGCGCAGUGGCAGUAUCGUAGCCAAUGAGGUUUAUCCGAGGCGCGAUUAUUGCUAAUUGAAAACUUUUCCCAAAUCCACGGGGCCAUACAGAAUGCCAGAGAUAUGUUGUGAUGGUUUCAAAUUGUCCUCACCAGAGC